GGGGAAACUGAUACAUGGACAGUUCUGAAUUAUGUGCUGCUCAUCACUAGCUUUCCCGAGAUUAUACCUGCUUUCUGAUGACCGGGGCGAAUUAAGGGAAAUCGCAACGGACAGAUACGGAGCAGACAAUC
ensembl:scaRNA SCARNA8 Small Cajal body specific RNA 8